rnacentral:rRNA from 1 species
CGGACUGCAGGCUGCAACCCGCCUGCACGAAGUUGGAAUUGCUAGUAAUCGCGGAUCAGCAUGCCGCGGUGAAUACGUUCCCGGGCCUUGUACACACCGCCCGUCACACCAUGGGAGCCGGUAAUACCCGAAGUCAGUAGUCCAACCUCGUGAGGACGCUGCCGAAGGUAGGAUUGGCGACUGGGGUGAAGUCGUAACAAGGUACC